rnacentral:ncRNA from 1 species
CGGGGACUUGAGCGGUCUCCCCGUCUGCCAAGGGUGCCGUCCGGUGCCCCAAGUACUGC